CCAUACCAGGGAGGAGCAGGCGCGCAAUUACCCAAUCCUGACACAGGGAGGUAGUGACAAGAAAUAACAAAGCAGGCGCUUACUGCGUUCUGCUAUUGGAAUGAGUUAAUUCUAAACCACUUUUCGACUAUCCAUUGGAGGGCAAGUCUGGUGCCAGCAGCCGCGGUAAUUCCAGCUCCAAUAGCGUAUAUUAAAGUUGUUGCGGUAAAAAAGCUCGUAGUUGGAUUUCUGUUGAGGGUGACCGGUCCGCACCAUGUGCGCGCAUCUGGUUCAGCCUCGGCAUCUUUCCGGAAAACGGCUUCGCGCUUCAUUGCGUGGAACGGGGUUCGGAACUUUUACUUUGAGGAAAUUAGAGUGUUCACGGCAGGCUAUCGCCAGAAUACAUUAGCAUGGAAUAAUACUAUAGGAUCUCGAUUCUAUUUUGUUGGUUUCUAGAGUUGGGAUAAUGAUUAAUAGGGACAAUUGGGGGCAUUCGUAUCGACACGUCAGAGGUGGAAUUCUUGGAUUGUGUUGCGACGAACUACUGCGAAAGCAUUUGCCAAGGAUGUUUUCAUUGAUCAAGAACGAAAGUAAGGGGAUCGAAGACGAUUAGAUACCGUCGUAGUCUUUACCAUAAACUAUGCCAACUAGAGAUGGGACAUGUAUAUUCAUGACUUGUUCCGCACCUUAUGAGAUAUCAAAGUCUUUGGGUUCCGGGGGGAGUAUGGUCGCAAGGCUGAAACUUAAAGGAAUUGACGGAAGGGCACCACCAGGAGUGGAGCCUGCGGCUUAAUUUGACUCAACACGGGGAAACUCACCAGGUCCAGACAUAAUAAGGAUUGACAGAUUGAUAGCUCUUUCUUGAUUUUAUGGGUGGUGGUGCAUGGCCGUUCUUAGUUCGUGGAGUGAUUUGUCUGCUUAAUUGCGUUAACGAACGAGACCUUAACCUGCUAAAUAGAAGCGCAUAUCUUCGGAUAAGCGCCUUUCUUCUUAGAGGGACUUUGUGCGAUUAGCGCAGGGAAGUUUGAGGCUAAAACAGGUCUGUGAUGCCCUUAGAUGUUCUGGGCUGCACGCGCGCUACACUGAUGCGUUCAACGAGUGUACAACCUUGCCCGAUAGGGUUGGGUAAUCUUUUGAACACGCAUCGUGAUGGGGAUAGAUUAUUGCAAUUAUUAAUCUUCAACGAGGAAUUCCUAGUAAUGAUGAAUCAUCAGUUCAUCGUGAUUACGUCCCUGCCCUUUGUACACACCGCCCGUCGCUCCUACCGAUUGAGCAAUCCGGUGAAUAUUUCGGACCGUGGCUAAUCUCACGAGCGGCCUCGGAAAGUCAAGUAAACCUUAUGUUAAG
rnacentral:rRNA from 1 species